GAUGAACGCUGGCGGCGUGCCUAAUACAUGCAAGUCGAGCGAACGGACGAGAAGCUUGCUUUUCUGAUGUUAGCGGCGGACGGGUGAGUAACACGUGGAUAACCUACCUAUAAGACUGGGAUAACUUCGGGAAACCGGAGCUAAUACCGGAUAAUAUUUUGAACCGCAUGGUUCAAAAGUGAAAGACGGUCUUGCUGUCACUUAUAGAUGGAUCCGCGCUGCAUUAGCUAGUUGGUAAGGUAACGGCUUACCAAGGCAACGAUGCAUAGCCGACCUGAGAGGGUGAUAGGCCACACUGGAACUGAGACACGGUCCAGACUCCUACGGGAGGCAGCAGUAGGGAAUCUUCCGCAAUGGGCGAAAGCCUGACGGAGCAACGCCGCGUGAGUGAUGAAGGCCUUCGGAUCGUAAAACUCUGUUAUUAGGGAAGAACAUAUGUGUAAGUAACUGUGCACAUCUUGACGGUACCUAAUCAGAAAGCCACGGCUAACUGCGUG
rnacentral:rRNA from 1 species